GGAGAGAUGGCAGAGUGGCCGAUUGCGCAGCAUUGCUAAUGCUGUGAGCCUGUCAAAAGGCUCCCCGGGUUCGAAUCCCGGUCUCUCCG
rnacentral:tRNA from 1 species